rnacentral:lncRNA from 1 species
AAAUUUUCAAUCGGUUCAAAAUUCAAAACAUAAAAGGAUACAUAAUGAAAAAUCCUUUCUCCCUUCCCUGCCCCCAGCCACCCAGUUUCUCUGUUUAGAGGCCACCAAUAUUAACAGUUGUUUUUGUUUUUUGAGACGGAGUCUCGCUUCUUGCCCAAUUUUAGAAGGAUUUCUCCUUUCCAAUCUGCAUUUUAUUUGCUUAAAUUUAUCAUUAAGGUAUUUUUUUUCUAUUCAGAUUUCUUUCUAGCCCCCAU